AUGAAAAACAGAAGUGUAGCAGUAAGUACCGCUUCAAAGGUUAUAGCUAAUCAAAACAGUAAUUGGCAUUUGAAUCCAGUUCGCAUUUCAACUACGAUCAUUGAGAGUGGUUGGUUAUAUUAAGUUAAAAGCAAAAAACAAUAAAGGUUGCGAGCACACUUUAGCAAGAAGUAAUAGUGACCAUAUGAUUCUAUUAGCUACAAAAAAAGAAACAGAAAUUUACCAGCAGACAGGUAACACAAUGCAACAUUGAACAUCAUGCUGUUUAAAACUGGCAAAUUAAUUCAUGUAUGCUUCCCGAUAUGAAUGACCAACUAGUAAAGUAGUCAUUCGCCUUUCUAAGAAGCAACAUUAAAGAGAGGUAGUACAUGCAACUUACAAAUAUCCAGUUACAAAAUGCAACCUUCUUGACACUAAGAAACAAAUUGAGAAAACAUCAAUCUACCACAAAAGCAAGAUUCUUAGAAUUGACCAACUCAAAAUAAGAGGAGAAAAAUAGAUUGAUUGCCACAAGCACAAGUACAUUGCACAUGAAUCUAACGGCAUAAUUGAAGUUCAAACUUUUCAUCAAUCCAAGGGAAUGAUCUAUAAGACUAUAUGCCACACAACUAUGAACUUCAACAAAAAAAAAAUACUUAAAAUCAUUAUAGCACGAAAUUAAAUGCAUUGUCGUUGGAUUGAUUUCCAUAUUGCAAGAUUAUCUAACUUACGGAACUGCAUAGAGAACUCUUAUAUCAGUGCAAAAUCCAAUGAACCAAGUUAUAUUUGGAUCCUUCUAAAGCUGAUAGAAGUCUACUGAACGAAUUAAAGAACUGCCUUAAAAAAACGAAUUAACGGACUGCGGCUUUUCAGCAACUCCUAAAUUUUUGGAUUACUAACAUUUAGAUUCAUGACAUUUACAUAGUGGCUACAAGAAACCUGUGGGUGCAGAUUAGGUUCAUUUUAGGAGUACUCAUAGUAGCACAUUACACACAUUGGUGUCAACCAACUUUAAUUGCAAGUCCUGAACCACCCAAAUUAUCCCCUCAGAAAAUAACUGAAGAAUCUUACCAACACAAGUACUCAAAUUUGACAACCCAUAGCUCGCAAACAGGAAGAAUACAACCAAAAUAGUAAGCUACUAUUUUGUCUUCCAAAGUACCAACAGUUUCACCAGCUAUUAACGGUUUCAAACAGUAACAGUAUCCAGGAAAAAGACUAAAGCGUCCAAAGGCUCAUUCUCCACCAGCUACUAACGUAUGAAUGAAAUGAAAACAAAGAAAUCAAACCACACAAUAACGACAGCUCCACAUAAAGAAAUUUGCCAUCCAAAUUACACAUAAAAGAGUUGUAUCUUCAGUUUAAUCUAUUCAUUGGUAAUAGUUAUAUAGUAACCAUAGUUGUCACGGGCGAAAAGCGCACCGAAGCGCAAAGUCCUGUUGGGCCUGAGGCGAGAGGCAAGAGGCGAGGCGCGCGCCUUUUUGAAGCGAGGCGCACAUAUGCGGAAAAAAAUAGAAAAAAAUAGCACACACUAAUAUUUCAAGCAAGCUAAUGAGUUUACCAUCCAAAAGAGACAUAAAAAUAUUCAUAAAAUGUCAAAUAGCCACAAAUACAUACGUAUUUCUUAUUUUUAUCGGGCAAAAUCAGCCAUCUGUUUUCUAUUCUCCUAUUUUUAUUUUUUCCUUCUCUGUCAUAUACUAAUAGCAUACAUAUGUAUAUUAGAAUAAAUAUCCUUCUCAGAAUUUCAGUCAUAUACUAAUAGCAUACAUAUUAUAUAUAUAUAUAUAUUAGAAAUUUAGAAAGAUAUACGAGAGAGAGAGACCUCAGGUCAGGAGAGAGACGAGAGACAGAGAGAUGGACGAAGCAGAGACAGAGAUCGAGGACAGCAGCAGUGAACGACCGACGGCAGCAGCAGUGAUCAACCGACAGCAGCAGCAGUGAGAGAUCAUCGGUAGCAGCAGUGAGAGAUCGUCGGCAGUUCGCUGGCAGCUCGUCGGCAGUGAGAGAUGAGAGAUCGAGUGAGAGAGGCGAGAGAUCGACUGAGAGAGGCACUCGGCUGAAACCCUUUUGUGUUUUUUUUGGUUCAAAUCUAACGGCGAGAGUUAGAUCUUCAAAAUCCUAGGGCUGAGAUCAAAUUUUAAAAGAAGCGCGCUUUUCGUGCGCCUCUCGCCUUGUCGCUUUUCCUCGCCUCCUGCGCCUUAGCUGCGCCUUAUUGAAGCCGCUGCGCCUGAGCUCCCUCAAGGCGCAACAGGUGCGCCUCGCCUCGCCUGGCGCCUAGGCGCGCUUUUGACAACUAUGAUAGUAACUUAACAAUACAUCAAAUUAAAGUGAUUAAUAAGAUGAUA